rnacentral:rRNA from 1 species
GGUCUGGUGGCGAGUGGCGAACGGGUGAGUAAUGCAUCGGAACGUGCCAUUGAGUGGGGGAUAACGUAGCGAAAGUUGCGCUAAUACCGCAUAUUCUGUGAGCAGGAAAGCAGGGGACCGCAAGGCCUUGCGCUCUUUGAGCGGCCGAUGUCAGAUUAGCUAGUUGGUGAGGUAAAGGCUUACCAAGGCGACGAUCUGUAGCGGGUCUGAGAGGAUGAUCCGCCACACUGGAACUGAGACACGGUCCAGACUCCUACGGGAGGCAGCAGUGGGGAAUUUUGGACAAUGGGGGCAACCCUGAUCCAGCCAUGCCGCGUGAGUGAAGAAGGCCUUCGGGUUGUAAAGCUCUUUCGGCCGGGAAGAAAUCGCAUGGGCCAAUACCCUGUGUGGAUGACGGUACCGGAAUAAGAAGCACCGGCUAACUACGUGCCAGCAGCCGCGGUAAUACGUAGGGUGCGAGCGUUAAUCAGAAUUACUGGGCGUAAAGCGUGCGCAGGCGGUUUUGUAAGACAGGCGUGAAAUCCCCGGGCUUAACCUGGGAACUGCGUUUGUGACUGCAAGGCUGGAGUACGGCAGAGGGGGGUGGAAUUCCACGUGUAGCAGUGAAAUGCGUAGAGAUGUGGAGGAACACCAAUGGCGAAGGCAGCCCCCUGGGUCGAUACUGACGCUCAUGCACGAAAGCGUGGGUAGCAAACAGGAUUAGAUACCCUGGUAGUCCACGCCCUAAACUAUGUCAACUAGGUGUUGGGUGGGUAAAACCAUUUAGUACCGUAGCUAACGCGUGAAGUUGACCGCCUGGGGAGUACGGCCGCAAGGUUAAAACUCAAAGGAAUUGACGGGGACCCGCACAAGCGGUGGAUGAUGUGGAUUAAUUCGAUGCAACGCGAAAAACCUUACCUACCCUUGACAUGCCAGGAACUUGCCAGAGAUGGCUUGGUGCCCGAAAGGGAGCCUGGACACAGGUGCCGCAUGGCUGUCGUCAGCUCGUGUCGUGAGAUGUUGGGUUAAGUCCCGCAACGAGCGCAACCCUUGUCGUUAAUUGCCAUCAUUUAGUUGGGCACUUUAACGAGACUGCCGGUGACAAACCGGAGGAAGGUGGGGAUGACGUCAAGUCCUCAUGGCCCUUAUGGGUAGGGCUUCACACGUCAUACAAUGGUCGGUACAAAGGGUUGCCAAGCCGCGAGGCGGAGCCAAUCCCAGAAAGCCGAUCGUAGUCCGGAUUGCAGGCUGCAACUCGCCUGCAUGAAGUCGGAAUCGCUAGUAAUCGUGGAUCAGCAUGUCACGGUGAAUACGUUCCCGGGUCUUGUACACACCGCCCGUCACACCAUGGGAGCGGGUUCCGCCAGAAGUAGGUAGCCUAACCGCAAGGGGGGCGCUUACCACGGCGGGGUUCGUGAC